rnacentral:tRNA from 3 species
GCGGCCGUGCGGAAACUGGUAGACCGGCAAGAUUGAGGUUCUUGUGAGUUCACACUCGUGUGGGUUCAAGUCCCACCGGCCGCA